rnacentral:piRNA from 1 species
UAGAAUCUGGAGAAGUCACAGUUUACAUAUU